GUUUAUAGAGAAAGACUGCUUUCUGAGGCAACAUGCUUCUUUAUAUCCCCAUAUGAAUUAUGCUGCUAUGGAAUGUAAGGAAGUGUGUGGUUUCGGGAAGUCUGCCUUCUAAUAGGUCCA
rnacentral:pre_miRNA from 15 species